rnacentral:rRNA from 1 species
GACGAACGCUGGCGGCGUGCUUAACACAUGCAAGUCGAACGAUGAAGCCGGAGCUUGCUCCGGCGGAUUAGUGGCGAACGGGUGAGUAACACGUGAGUAACCUGCCCUUGACUCUGGGAUAAGCGUUGGAAACGACGUCUAAUACCGGAUACGAACCGCGACGGCAUCGUCUGCGGUUGGAAAGAAUUUCGGUCAAGGAUGGACUCGCGGCCUAUCAGCUUGUUGGUGAGGUAAUGGCUCACCAAGGCGACGACGGGUAGCCGGCCUGAGAGGGUGACCGGCCACACUGGAACUGAGACACGGUCCAGACUCCGACGGGAGGCAGCAGUGGGGAAUAUUGCACAAUGGGCGAAAGCCUGAUGCAGCAACGCCGCGUGAGGGAUGACGGCCUUCGGGUUGUAAACCUCUUUUAGCAGCGAAGAAGCGAAAGUGACGGUACCUGCAGAAAAAGCACCGGCUAACUACGUGCCAGCCGCCGCCGUAA